UACGAAGGGGGCUAGCGUUGUUCGGAUUUACUGGGCGUAAAGCGCACGUAGGCGGAUCGUUAAGUCGGGGGUGAAAUCCUGGAGCUCAACUCCAGAACUGCCUUCGAUACUGGCGAUCUUGAGUCCGGAAGAGGUGAGUGGAACUCCUAGUGUAGAGGUGGAAUUCGUAGAUAUUAGGAAGAACACCAGUGGCGAAGGCGGCUCACUGGACCAUUACUGACGCUGAGGCACGAAAGCUAGGGGAGCAAACAGG
rnacentral:rRNA from 1 species